rnacentral:rRNA from 1 species
AAUGAACGCUGGCGGCAUGCCUAACACAUGCAAGUCGAACGAGAACUCCGGGUCUUGGGGCGCAUGGGUUCGUCACGCGAGGGAACCUGCCCUCGGGUUCGGCAUACCUCUCCGACAGGGGUGCUAAUACCGGAUAAUGUCUUCGGACCAAUGAUAUAUCGCCUUUGGAUGGGCCCGCGUUGGAUUAGCUAGUUGGUAAGGUAACAGCUUACCCAGGCGACGAUGCGCAGCUGACCUGUGAGGGUGAUCAGCCACACUGGAACUGAGACACGGCCCAGACUCCUACGGGAGGCAGCAGUAGGGAAUAUGCCGCAAUGGGCGAAAGCCUGACGGAGCAACGCCGCGUGAGUGAUGAAGGUCUUCGGAUCGUAAAACUCUGUUAUUAGGGAAGAACAAAUGUGUAAGUAACUAUGCACGUCUUGACGGUACCUAAUCAGAAAGACACGGCUAACUACGUG